rnacentral:rRNA from 1 species
ACUCCCUUACGGGAGGCAGCAUUUGGGGAAUAUUGCACAAUGGGCGCAAGCCUGAUGCAGCCAUGCCGCGUGUGUGAAGAAGGCCUUCGGGUUGUAAAGCACUUUCAGUCGUGAGGAAGGUAGUGUAGUUAAUAGCUGCAUUAUUUGACGUUAGCGACNGAAGAAGCACCGGCUAACUCCGUGCCAGCAGCCGCGGUAAUACGGAGGGUGCGAGCGUUAAUCGGAAUUACUGGGCGUAAAGCGCAUGCAGGUGGUUUGUUAAGUCAGAUGUGAAAGCCCGGGGCUCAACCUCGGAAUUGCAUUUGAAACUGGCAGACUAGAGUACUGUAGAGGGGGUGAG